UCCCAAAAAAUAAACCCCUUCUAUCUCACCUCCCUCUCCGAUCUCUCAUCGUCACCUCCGCAAGUCGAUCUCACGUCAUCACCUCUACAGAUGCUCUCCCUGUAAUUAAACCCCUCUGAUCUCACGUCGUCAUCUCUGCAGAUUUCUCUCUCUUGUAACCUCCGCUCUCCCUCUAAUUAACCCCCCCGAUCUCACCUCAUCGCCUCCGCGCGAUCAGCCCCAAAAAACUUCGGCCGCUCUCAAAAACUAGAUUGACCCCUGAUCCUCUGCUUGACCUAACAAAGCUCCGCUCUAAAAGUGUUAAUUGAUCUCUGAUCACGCCUCAAGACCACUGCUUUCCAGAUCUUUGGGCGUCUAUCCAAUCGAGUCGUGCAAUAUCGUGGUUGCGUGUCUUCCCCUUUCCGAUUUCUGGCAAUUGCAUGCGCUGAUCACCUCACUCCACAAAGCUUAGCUUUAAUUUAUAGACACUGGACAAUUUCAAAGGCUACGAGACUUGAAGCAAUCAG